CAGCCGUAAACUAUGCUCGCUAGGUGUCAGGCAUGGCGCGACCGUGUCUGGUGCCGCAGGGAAGCCGUGAAGCGAGCCACCUGGGAAGUACGGCCGCAAGGCUGAAACUUAAAGGAAUUGGCGGGGGAGCACAACAACGGGUGGAGCCUGCGGUUUAAUUGGACUCAACGCCGGACAACUCACCGGGGACGACAGCAAUAUGUAGGCCAGGCUGAAGACCUUGCCAGAAUCGCUGAGAGGAGGUGCAUGGCGUAGACGUCU
rnacentral:rRNA from 1 species